UACAGAGGUCUCAAGCGUUGUUCGGAAUCACUGGGCGUAAAGGGCGCGUAGGCGGCCUGAUAAGUAGGGGGGUGAAAUCUUGCGGCUCAACCGCAAGGCUGCCUUCUAAACUGUCAGGCUGGAGCACGGUAGAGGCAGAUGGAAUUCCCGGUGUAGCGGUGGAAUGCGUAGAGAUCGGGAAGAACACCAGUGGCGAAGGCGGUCUGCUGGGCCGUUGCUGACGCUGGAGGCGCGACAGCGUGGGGAGCAAACAGG
rnacentral:rRNA from 1 species